GCGCCCAUAGCUCAUCGGUAGAGCACCACUCUUAUAAAGUGGGGGUACUUGGAUCGUCACCAAGUGGGCGCA
rnacentral:tRNA from 1 species